UACAGAGGUCUCGAGCGUUAGGCGGAAUCACUGGGCUUAAAGCGUGUGUAGGUGGAUGCCUAAGUACCUUGUGAAAUCCCACAGCUUAACUGUGGAACUGCUUGGUAUACUGGGUGUCUUGAGUCACUCAGGGGCGAGCGGAACAAAUGGUGGAGCGGUGAAAUGCGUAGAUAUCAUUUGGAACGCCAAUGGUGAAAACAGGUAGCUGGGGCUGUGCUGACACUGAGACACGAAAGCCAGGGGAGCGAACGGG
rnacentral:rRNA from 1 species